rnacentral:rRNA from 1 species
GCCAGACUCCUACGGGAGGCAGCAGUGGGGGAUAUUGCACAAUGGGGGGAACCCUGAUGCAGCGACGCCGCGUGGGUGAAGAAGCGCCUCGGCGCGUAAAGCCCUGUCAGCAGGGAAGAAAAUGACGGUACCUGAAGAAGAAGCCCCGGCUAACUACGUGCCAGCAGCCGCGGUAAUACGUAGGGGGCAAGCGUUAUCCGGAUUUACUGGGUGUAAAGGGGGCGCAGACGGCGAUGCAAGCCAGGAGUGAAAGCCCGGGGCCCAACCCCGGGACUGCUUUGGAAACUGUGAAGCUGGAGUGCGGGAGGGGCAGGCGGAAUUCCUGGUGUAGCGGUGGAAUGCGCAGAUAUCGGGAAGAACACCGAUGGCGAAGGCAGAUCUCUGGGCCGCAACCGACGCUGAGGCGCGAAAGCUAGGGGAGCGAACAGGAUUAGAUACCCCGGUA